UACAGAGGUCCCAAGCGUUGUUCGGAUUCACUGGGCGCAAAGGGUGCGCAGGUGGUCGGGUAAGUCUGACGUGAAAUCCCGCAGCUUAACUGCGGAAUGGCAUUGGAUACUAUUCGGCUAGAGGGUUGGAGGGGGGACUGGAAUUCUCGGUGUAGCAGUGAAAUGCGUAGAUAUCGAGAGGAACACCAGUGGCGAAGGCGAGUCCCUGGACAACUCCUGACGCUGAGGCACGAAAGCUAGGGGAGCAAACAGG
rnacentral:rRNA from 1 species